rnacentral:rRNA from 1 species
UUUUAAAUGGCCGCAGUAUUUUGACUGUGCAAAGGUAGCAUAAUCAUUAGUUUUUUAAUUAAAAGCUUGUAUGAAAGGCUGGACGAGGUAAAAUCUGUCUCUAUUUAAAUUAUAGUAGAAUUUAACUUUUAAGUUAAAAGGCUUAAAUAUUAUUAAAAGACGAGAAGACCCUAUAGAUCUUUAUAGUUUAUUAAAUUAAAUUAAUUUAGAAAUAUUAAUGUUUUAUUUAGUUAAGGUAUUUUAUUGGGGUAAUAAAAAGAUUGAAUUAAUUCUUUUUUAUAAUAAACAUUAAUUUAUGAAUAUUAAUGAUCCAGUUUUACUGAUUAUAAGAUUAAGUUACCUUAGGGAUAACAGCGUAAUUUUUUUAGAGAGUUCAUAUCGAUAAAAAAGUUUGCGACCUCGAUGUUGGAUUAAAGAUUAUUUUAGGUGUAGAAGCUUAAUAAUUUUGGUCUGUUCGACCAUUAAAUCUUUACAUGAUCUGAGUUCAGACCGGCGUAAGCCAGGUCGGUUUCUAUCUUUAAUAAAAUAAAAUAUUUUAGUACGAAAGGACCAAAUAUUUGAUAUAUUUAUAUUUAAUUUAUUGAAUAUUA